GCAAGACUGACCCAGCCAUGCCGCGUGCAGGAAGACGGCCCUCUGGGUUGUAAACUGCUUUUAUCUGGGAAGAAAAAGUCCAUGCGUGGAAAAUUGCCGGUACCAGAUGAAUAAGCACCGGCUAACUCCGUGCCAGCAGCCGCGGUAAUACGGAGGGUGCAAGCGUUGUCCGGAUUUAUUGGGUUUAAAGGGUGCGUAGGCGGCUGAAUAAGUCAGCGGUGAAAGACUUCGGCUUAACCGGAGCAGUGCCGUUGAUACUGUUUAGCUUGAGUGUUGGAGGGGUACAUGGAAUUGAUGGUGUAGCGGUGAAAUGCAUAGAUACCAUCAGGAACACCGAUAGCGAAGGCAUUGUACUGGCCAACAACUGACGCUGAGGCACGAAAGUGUGGGGAUCGAACAGGAUUAGAUACCCUGGUAGUCCACACCGUAAACGAUGAUUACUCGCUGUUAUGCUGUAUAGUGUAGCGGCCAAGCGAAAGCGUUAAGUAAUCCACCUGGGGAGUACGCCGGCAACGGUGAAACUCAAAUGAA
rnacentral:rRNA from 1 species